rnacentral:lncRNA from 1 species
UUUUGUUGAGGCGUGGGAGUAUAUAUGUUUAGAAAGGUGUUUGGGUACUGUGGGAUUUUCCCUUCAUGAGGCGAGGCAUAAGCCUCACUGUAAACAAAAAAAUGUCAAAAAAUUGUUAAAAUGCAAAAUAAGCACAUAAUACAUCAUACACAAUAUUCAAUAUUAGAAUAUUUAAAAUGGGAAAUUAAGCAAAAGAAAAAUCU